rnacentral:lncRNA from 1 species
UCUUUGUAGCAUCAAAUGCCACAAUGUACUCUACCUUGCAUCGGUUACGAUAUGCUGCUUGAAAAUUUUUCAGCAGAUCGCUCCUCCAUACAGGGUAAACACAUGACCCAACAUACUUUUACCGUCAUUAUGAUCUGAUUGAAACUGAAAUCAGUAUAACCCAUAAGUUUCAAGUUAGUGUCUCCAUAGAUUAGCCAUUGAUCUUUUUAGUAUUUCUCAAAUACUUAAAGGUUGUCUCUACAACCUUUCAAUGGUUCUCAUCCGGAUC